ensembl:lncRNA
UGUGUGUGUAUUGAGUGUGUGUCUUGAGUGUGUGUAUCUGUAGUGAGUGUGUGUGUCUGUAGUGAGUGUGUGUCUGCAGUGAGUGUGUAUCUGCCUGCCGUGACCAGAGUUAUGAUCUGCCAUAAUGACUCCUAACGAGGUGUCACCCUGAAGAGAUUAGUAUCGGCAGGCCGAUCCAGCACCAGAGCUGGACUCUAUACACACACACACACACACACUCUCACACUCACACUCACACAGACACACACACACACAUGGGUUUUAUCAGCUCUGUCGAGACCGUUGGGCUUGUUUGUACUCAGUGAUGCAGGUCAGUGAGCAGCGCCACCGUUGCAUCAGUUUCAGGACGUGUGUGUGUCUGUGUGUGUGUGUCAGUGCGUGUGUGUCUGUGUGUGUCGGUCUGUCUGUGUGUAUCUGUCUCUGUGUGUGGCUGUGCGUGUGUGUCUGUGUGUGUGUUUCUGUCUGUGUGUGUCUGUAUCUAUGCCUACUGUGUGCGUGUCUUUGUUUGUGUUUGUGUCGGCCUUAUGACGUAUGUGUAUCUAUGCAUACUGUUUAUGUGUGUGCGUGUGUGUGUGUGUAUAUCUGUGCAUUCUGUAUAUGUGUGUGUGUUCAUAUACAUACUGUAUAUAUGUAAGUGUGUGUGUGUGUGUGUGUCUGUGUGUGUCUGUGUUUGUGUCGGCCUUAGUACGUGCGUGUGUGUUUGUGUCAGUUUUAGGACGAGUGUGUGUGUGUGUGUCCGGUCUCAGGGUGUUAUGACGGGUUAAAAGUAUUAAAUCUCACAGCUGUCCCAGCCCCUGUGGACAGAGAUGACUUGCUGACACGUCCACACACACACACACAGACACACACACACACACACACACACUAAUGUGUUAUUGACGAGGCUUCGGCUGCACGGGCAGGACAACACCGCUGACAGUCAGCCAGUUCCAGCUAACUUAGUUAAAUCACAGAAGUGUCCAUUAAAAUGUAACACAUUGAAAUGUGCAUGUGAUUAUAGUUAAGGUUAAAGUUUAAAAGAGGA